rnacentral:rRNA from 1 species
GAUGAACGCUGGCGGCGUGCCUAAUACAUGCAAGUCGAGCGAACAGACGAGGCGCUUGCUCCUCUGACGUUAGCGGCGGACGGGUGAGUAACACGUGUAUAACCUACCUAUAAGACUGGGAUAACUUCGGGAAACCGGAGCUAAUACCGGAUAAUCUAUUGAACCGCAUGGUUCAAUAGUGAAAGACGGUUUUGCUGUCACUUAUAGAUGGAUCCGCGCCGCAUUAGCUAGUUGGUAAGGUAACGGCUUACCAAGGCAACGAUGCGUAGCCGACCUGAGAGGGUGAUCGGCCACACUGGAACUGGGACGCGGUCCAGACUCCUACGGUAGGCAGCAGUAGGGAAUCUUCCGCAAUGGGCGAAAGCCUGACGGAGCGACGCCGCGUGAGUGAUGAAGGUCUUCGGAUCGUAAAACUCUGUUAUUAGGGAAGAACAAAUGUGUAAGUAACUAUGCACGUCUUGACGGUACCUAAUCAGAAAGCAACGGCUAACUACGUG